GUAAUGCAACCUAAAGACUCUCUCUUAAGGUUUAUUAAGGUUCUGGGUCUGUAAUCUCAGUGGGCAAUACAGUUAUAUGUGUUCACUGUAAGGGCAGACCAACAAGACCUUCGGCUUUUGAACUACCUGUCUUUCAUAGAGGUGAUUCUUUCUAUUUGCUGGGAAGAAAUUGUGGUAACUGGAGGGAGAGGGUAGGGACAGGACAUGUUCAUGGUAUCAGGGUCAGAGGGUCCCAAAGGACUUAGCUUGUAUUGUGGCCACUGAGAGAUGAAACACAGAUCUUUGGUAAUCUGA